UGGAGGCAGAGGUCCAGUGAGCUGGGCUCCACCCUUUCUCUCCCUGCAGUCCCAACUCCAUUUUUAUCUGUGCUAUAUGUUGGAGUCUAGCCAAGAUGUCAUUUGAACAAAGAUUCUGAAAGAUCAAAGAAAAAAGUUUGAAAACCACCAGGACAAUGCUUUCAGGGGACUUUAUCCAAAAGACUGCAACAAUGUAAAGAGAUACGAUUGCUUUUAUUACUGUGAUAUGUUUAAAGUAUUAUAAAUUUUUUAAGAGCUUUGUAAGUGACAGAAGUGAAGACAUGCUCAUUUUAAUGUUACCAGUCAACUCUGAGAAGACUAAAGGUCAAGGGACAAUGAAAAUGUGACCCUUACCAACGACAGAAACUCCCAGGAAGCCACAAUUAACUCAAGACCACCAGGAUAUUUGGGGAAGUUUAUCCUUCUGGAAACCAGAAUUUCUGAUUUGUGGAAAAUUCUAUAGAUAUUCUCUGCCAGACUCCAGCCUAUUUGAAAGAAAAGAAGCUGUUUUGGAGGUUGGGAAGAGCUUUAGAAAAUGCGGCAUCACGUCUGUUGCCCCAUUUGAAGAAAGCAGCUCUGGAAAAGGCCUAGGACAUUAGUUGCUACAAAGUUCUAGAUCAUUCUGUGUGGUAAAGAAGUGCCUUUCACCUCCCACUGUGAUUCUGAGGCCUCCCCAGCCAUGUGGAACUAUCAGGUCUGUGUUGGUAAAUUAGACACCGUGUGGCCUUUCAACAUCCAGGAGCAAGAUGGCAGGAGAAUCAUGCCAACAACUGAGGAGUGAUAUCCACCCAGGUUUGCUCAGUAAGACUAUGAGACCUAUCUUCCUGGCUGUGGUGAUUGGUUCAGAAGCAACAUGCCAACCAACCUGAUCCAAUGAGAGUGAGUUCUAGGACUUUUGCUGGAACUACUGUAUGUCUAUAUAUAAAAGAGAAUCUAUCUUUCUAUUGAAAGCCAAAGGUAAGAAGCCAAUAUGAUAUGCAUUUGAUUCUGUUACGGAAAUCCACAUAAAAGAAGGCUGCCCAAGUAUAAAACCAACACAGAAGAAAG
rnacentral:lncRNA from 1 species